UCCCACAUAUAUACGUGUAAAUUCGUUAUAAAGUGUUGAGUCGACUAAACCACCCAUAGGUAAAAGUCACUCAAUAUACCACUAUCACUCAAUACCACUCGUUGAUUUGGAGGAGCGUCUUCCGCUCCAAGUUUUCUCUUUGAAUUUCUAGUACACAUUAUUCUACUAUAAACAUGAGCGCCGAUUUGUCAUGUUAGAGCUUCUACAACAGAGAAAAAAUUACCAAAACAAGUUUAAACAAUUUGGGAAUAACGCGACUUACCGACGAAGCUUCAGAUCGUAGCGUCGUUUCUCAGUGGGAAAAGAUAUACCGAAAAAUAUAAUAAUCCCUCAGAAUCGGUAUGCGACGUAACCGCAACGAAUGGUUGAAUUCUAUCCGAUUCAUUGUGGAAAGCGACAUUAUCAAAAAACGUCCAAUCCGGAAUACGAAAUAAUUGGAAGACAAGAAUAAAAAGAAUUACAAAAAAACUUGUCUAUAUUUCAAUCUUGACGAAUCUUGAAUACAAUGAGACAACUUUGUGUGUUACACGCUUAUUUUAAAAUUGUUUACAACUAUUAUAUAUUUACAUCAAUGACAAAAUUAUACACAAUGUUGUAGAUGUGUCUGUUUUGCAGAGGAGUGAUAAACGUUCUCUACAAUAAUAAAUCUAAAUGAUCUCACGACUGUACAAAUUCACCACUUCGAAAUAUAAAAAUUGAGCAAUUCAUACUAAUAUGUAAAGAAAAAAAAACUGAUGAUUUCAUGACGCAGAGGUUUUUAGUUGAAAAUUCGGAAGAACUGAUAUAAAAAGAUAAUCGCAGCAAUAGAGGAAAAAUGUAUAAUUUACAUCGCCAAUGAACAACAGCUCUUGAAUUGAUAUGUAACCGGACUGUUUUUUUGGGUGUUUUCUUUAAAAUCUUCGCAAUAGAUUCGAAGACUUUCAUUAAAAGAAUGGACUAGAAACGUAUGUAACCUUUUUCGAAUGUUUUUCCUUAUAUAAACUUCCUCUCAAAUAUCUUACACGUUCAAGGACAUCGGUUGAUCCGGAAUCGUUCAAUGAAACAAGAGUUGAAAGAGGAAUGACGAACCUUCGAAAAUUUGGGUAAACCACACGUUAGUUUGUACCGAUGAUUUGAAUUUUAUUGUUAUACUUUGAAACAUAAAUAUCGACGGAUUCAUGAAACAGACAUUUAAAAAAAAUAACGCUUUGAUUUUAGCGCCAAUUUUACGAUUACCUCAUUCAGUAAAUGAUAAUGAGAAAAGAGGGAGUGAAGACAGGGGAAAACUAUAUAUUGAUAAUCGUCAAUCCGGACGUAAUCAUGGGUACGAAAAUAAAUUAAUAUUUGUUUAAUAUCUUUCAGGAAGAAACGAAUUUCCGUAGCACUUGUUGAGGAGACAACCCGCGGCAUAUGGCUCCAUUUCGUGAUGUGCACUAAUUUAAUGAUUUCUCCAACGGACGAUGAAUUUUAAGGCCUGUACGAAAUAUGGGACUGAGAAUGGGCAACAAAAUUAUCGAAUCCUUCCAUAAUUCGAUUGUCACCAUUCGGUGGACAACAUUAUUAUGUACAAACUUGGAUGAUGAUGUUUUUCGCAAUGAAAAUUCAUGAUCCCAGUAAGGAAAAUAAGAAAGAAAAAAUGAGGCUAUCAGUCUAUCGAUCCUCGCCACGUGUUUAGAAUGCAAAAUCCGGGACGGGCACUCCGAAGUUGAAAGAGACCAUUUUUUGUUCAACAUUUUUACAGAUUUCAUUGUUACAAUGAUAUAUUUCCUGGCUGACUGUACUGUCCGAGUCUGGAAUGCUUAUCGACUGCUCUCACCGCGAAAUAGUAGUUGUUGCCUUCUGAAAACUACAAAAUAAUAUUCUUGUUUAUCACAAAAGAUUUAUCAUAUGUUUUCAAGGAUUUUCAAACACAAAAUGAUAAAAAAAAAAAUUGAGCUUCCGACGGUAUAUCAUUGUUCUCAUCAUUCCCGAACAAUCAAUCGCAGAGAAAAAUUGCCAAGCAUAAGGGUCGAUUUAGUGACCCUAUCAACUUAAAAUUUGAUAUGUUUCUAAAUCAGAUAUCAAAGAUUAAAACCAUUAAUUAUAUGAAUUGAAUCGCAGGAAUUGUAACCAUACUUUAAAAUAGGGUGAUCAACGCCCAUCUGAAUUAAAAAUAUUGAGUUGAAGAAGCUGUAUUUGUGGGGCUAUCGUGAUCUCUGAUCUAAGCUGUUGAUUAAUUACGUGCAUCUUCGUCAAACGUUAACUUUUUGCAAUGUACUACCAAAUCAUGUAAAAGACUCUAAAUGAAAUAUUUUCUGUAAUCAUCUUGAACAUUAUUUACUAUUGAAAAAAAUGAUGACUUUUUUAUUGAUACUGUGCUAUGUAUGAAUAACCGUGGUAUUUGUUUUAAAAAAAUAUAGUGAAAGACUGUUGA
rnacentral:lncRNA from 1 species